rnacentral:rRNA from 1 species
GACGAACGCUGGCGGCGUGCUUAACACAUGCAAGUCGAACGGUGAAGCGCCUUCCUUUUUGGUGGGUGUGGAUGAGUGGCGAACGGGUGAGUAACACGUGAGUAACCUGCCCCCUUCUUCUGGAUAACCGCAUGAAAGUGUGGCUAAUACGGGAUAUUCUGGGUCUGUCGCAUGAUGGGUCUGGGAAAGAUAUUGUUUCGGUGGGGGAUGGGCUCGCGGCCUAUCAGCUUGUUGGUGGGGUGAUGGCCUACCAAGGCGGUGACGGGUAGCCGGCCUGAGAGGGUGGACGGUCACACAGGGACUGCGACACGGCCCAGACUCCUACGGGAGGCAGCAGUGGAGAAUAUUGCACAGUGGGCGCAAGCCUGAUGCAGCGACGCCGCGUGAGGGAUGGAGGCCUGCGGGUUGUGAACCUCUUUCGCCAGUGAAGCAGGCCUGCCUCGUUUGUGGGUGGGUUGACGGUAGCUGGAUAAGAAGCGCCGGCUAACUACGUG